rnacentral:rRNA from 1 species
UAGGGAAUCUUUGGCAAUGGACGAAAGUCUGACCGAGCAACGCCGCGGGAGUGAAGAAGGUUUUCGGAUCGUAAAACUCUGUUGUUAGAGAAGAACAAGGACGGUAGUAACUGAACGUCCCCUGACGGUAUCUAACCAGAAAGCCACGGCUAACUACGUGCCAGCAGCGGCGGUAAUACGUAGGUGGCAAGCGUUGUCCGGAUUUAGUGGGCGUAAAGCGAGCGCAGGCGGUUUCUUAAGUCUGAUGUGAAAGCCCCCGGCUCAACCGGGGAGGGUCAUUGAAAGCUGGGAGACUUGAGUGCAGAAGGGGAGAGUGAAUUUCCAUGUGUAGCGGUAAAAUGCGUAGAUAUAUGGAGGAACCCCAGUGGCGAGGGCGGCUCUCUGGUCUGUAUCUGCCGCUGAGGCUCGAAAGCGUGGGGAGCAAACAGG